AACGGGUGAGUAACACGUGGGCAAUCUGCCCUGCACUCUGGGACAAGCCCUGGAAACGGGGUCUAAUACCGGAUAAUACUGUGCCCCUCAUGGGGGACGGUUGAAAGCUCCGGCGGUGCAGGAUGAGCCCGCGGCCUAUCAGCUUGUUGGUGGGGUAAUGGCCUACCAAGGCGACGACGGGUAGCCGGCCUGAGAGGGCGACCGGCCACACUGGGACUGAGACACGGCCCAGACUCCUACGGGAGGCAGCAGUGGGGAAUAUUGCACAAUGGGCGAAAGCCUGAUGCAGCGACGCCGCGUGAGGGAUGACGGCCUUCGGGUUGUAAACCUCUUUCAGCAGGGAAGAAGCGAAAGUGACGGUACCUGCAGAAGAAGCGCCGGCUAACUACGUGCCAGCAGCCGCGGUAAUACGUAGGGCGCAAGCGUUGUCCGGAAUUAUUGGGCGUAAAGAGCUCGUAGGCGGUUUGUCACGUCGGGUGUGAAAGCCCGGGGCUUAACCCCGGGUCUGCAUUCGAUACGGGCAGACUAGAGUGUGGUAGGGGAGAUCGGAAUUCCUGGUGUAGCGGUGAAAUGCGCAGAUAUCAGGAGGAACACCGGUGGCGAAGGCGGAUCUCUGGGCCAUUACUGACGCUGAGGAGCGAAAGCGUGGGGAGCGAACAGGAUUAGAUACCCUGGUAGUCCACGCCGUAAACGUUGGGAACUAGGUGUUGGCGACAUUCCACGUCGUCGGUGCCGCAGCUAACGCAU
rnacentral:rRNA from 1 species